rnacentral:lncRNA from 1 species
GUAUCCCUGACUUGCCAGCUUGAUCGCUUGUCUUAUUUACCGUUUUCUUAGCGGGUGGUUUAUGUCUGGCCCUUUCGGGUCGCCUGACCUGGGCUGAUGGCGCUUCGUAACGGCUUGUCUGGAGUCCAGCGGCUCUCUAAGGCUUCGAUGUACUAGUACCUGCCACCAAAACAUCGUGAAGGAUUCAGUGAACGUCUUGAAACUUAGUAACACAAGACAAUUCACUGAAUGGUUGUUGGCUCUACCGGAGGAGUCUGAAAUCAACAACGUGUAACUGCUUGGGCAUUGAGUGUUCCGCUGCUUGAGGAAGUAUGUGAGAGGAUCGAU